GAUGAAGAACGUAGCAAAAUGCGAUAAGUAAUGUGAAUUGCAGAAUUCAGUGAAUCAUCGAAUCUUUGAACGCACAUUGCGCCCGCCAGUAUUCUGGCGGGCAUGCCUGUUCGAGCGUCAUUACAACCCUCAGGCCCCCGGGCCUGGCGUUGGGGAUCGGCGGAAGCCCCCUGCGGGCACAACGCCGUCCCCCAAAUACAGUGGCAGUCCCGCCGCAGCUUCCAUUGCGUAGUAGCUAACACCUCGCAACUGGAGAGCGGCGCGGCCACGCCGUAAAACACCCAACUUCUGAAUGUUGACCUCGAAUCAGGUAGGAAUACCCGCUGAACUUAAGCAUAUCAAUAAGCGGAGGA
rnacentral:misc_RNA from 1 species